rnacentral:rRNA from 1 species
GUAGGUGGCAAGCGUUGUCCGGAAUUAUUGGGCGUAAAGCGCGCGCAGGCGGUUCUUUAAGUCUGAUGUGAAAGCCCACGGGCUCAACCGUGAGGGUCAUUGGAAACUGGAGAACUUGAGUACAGAAGAGGAAAGCGGAAUUCCACGUGUAGCGGUGAAAUGCGUAGAGAUGUGGAGGAACACCAGUGGCGAAGGCGGCUUUCUGGUCUGUAACUGACGCUGAGGCGCGAAGGCGUGGGGAGCAAACAGGAUUAGAUACCCUGGUAGUCCACGCCGUAAACGAUGAGUGCUAAGUGUUAGGGGGUUUCCGCCCCCUUAGUGCUGCAGCUAACGCAUUAAGCACUCCGCCUGGGGGGGUACGGCCGCAAAGGCUG